UGGUGAUGAACCACCUGCAACUUGCAGGAUUUGGUCACAGUUGGUGUGCAGUACAACUAGUAGGAUGGUAGGCUCUAUAUAUCUAGGGUCUUCGUGAAAUGACUGAAGUAUUACCUAUGUUUUGGGUUAUUCAAAAGCAUGCACUGUUGACUUUUCAAAAUCUCGCUUGCAAUUUUUCGUGCUCCGUUGACUUUCUUUUGCCUUCUGUUGUCCUUGGUUUUGCUAUUUUGCUCACUCCUCCCGUUGUUGUUGCAGGGUUAAUGAGUCUUCUGUUCGUCGUUUGUAUUGUUGCUCGGGGAGUUUCUCUGCUCGUUCGAUGCACGCCGGUGUCGUUGCCUAGCAAGAUAGGAGAUUCUUCUGGGCAGCUGGCAGCACGGGGCCACUGGUCGCCUAUGAACAGGCUGCUUUACAAGCUAAAGUUCUUAUAGGGGGUAUAUGGGUUUGUGAUCAGAGAUUAUAAUUCCACUGUGUGCUAGCCUGUAGAA